rnacentral:lncRNA from 1 species
CAAAAUUUGUUGGCGUCUUGAAGAAUGAAUUCUGUUGGUGGUGGUAGGUUCCCACCUACCCUGAACCUCCUUGGACAUCUGGGAUUUUGCCUAGUGUGAAGGGCUUUUGUUUUUAAGAUUAAGGCUGAACAGGUUUGAAAGAAUUUAUGAGUUGGACUCUUAAGCAGGUGGAGAUGCCUUCACCUGUGCACUGUGAGCAGAGGGUGCCCAAAUGCCAGCUUGCCACACGGGAAUAGUGCCCCAGGGCCUGGAAGUCCACCAGCAGCUGUGAGACUUCACAGGCAGCUUAACAGGACUUUAGCCAAACAGUGAGCCAGGAGUGUGUCAACACUGUCACUGCUGAGAACACUGCUGAAAACCACAACGGCCAAGGCUCAUUUUACCCAGUGGUCCCUCCGCGUACCGAGCUCUCUCUGGCCACUGCUCCACAAGGAGGCUGCCGCUGACCUGGGCUUCUGCAUUCAUCAGAGGUGAUGGGGGCGGGGGCUCGGGAAGGUGAACUGAACUCAUUCGUUGAGCCAGUGUUACCAUAUGUGCUCUGAAUUCUGAUUUCAAAGAGGAGAGACAUGUUCUCCAGGAGGCACCCUGUCCUUGCAGACCUGCAGAUCCCCCCACCAUCCACCUCACAGUUAUGGCGAGAAUUUCCUCCACGGGCAAUCAAAGACCGUUUUGGACGAUCUUUAGGCAGGACAUGCCUUCAUUUGGGAUCACACACAUGCGUAUGUCAUGCAUCUUGUAAAGCCCUCGUCUGAGAAGAAGACAGAGGAGGGCAGUAGAACUGAGAGAGGGAAAGGACACACGGGUCCUUAUGAUGGGGACCAGCCAGGGCUGAGACCACCCCUCACCCUGGACCCCUCAGACCCAUCAGCUAACACAUUUUGGUUUUUUUUGAUUUGUGAAUAUUUUAAUCAAAAAAGUUGAUUUUAUCAUAUGAAAUGAAAACUGGGAGAAAGAGAUCAAAAUUCAGCUCUCUGUGUCCGUGGGUUUACAGAUUCAACCAACUGCAAGCCCAAAAUGUUUUAAAAAAUUCAUCUACACUGAACAUGUACAUAAUAGUCAUGAUUUCCUAAACAAUGAAUUGUAAUGACUAUGUAUAUGAUAUUUAUAUUAUAUACAAUUAUGAAUAAUCUAGAGAUGAUUUCACACACACUAAUUUAGGUGUGUAGGUUGGGUGUAGAUACGGUGCCAUUCACACAAGAGACUUGAGCACCUGUGGAUUUUGCUAUGGGAGGGGAGCGGAAACCCCCAAUACCAAGGCGUGACUAAGACAAGUUUACACUUAUUUUCAUGUUCUAUUUUUUCUGUAUUUUUAGAAGUAUUUUAUUAAUUUUUAAAAAUUUUAUGAUAAGAAAAGAAUUGCAAAUUUUUAAAGGUCGUAUUAUGGAAACUUUCUUGGCCACAUACCAUUCCUUAAGACAGCUGGGACUAUAGAAUAAGAAUUUAAGACUUCUCCAUGUCCAGGCUACAAAAUUUCAAUAUGGCCCUGCUAUCAACUGAAAGGGUCUUCCCAGAUGCGUGCUGAAACCUAACCCCUAACAUGAGAGUAUUGGGGGCACGUUGGUCAUGAGGGAAGGGCCCUCAGAGAUGAGAUUCAUGCCCUUAUGAAAGGGGUCCCAGAGGAUUCUCAUCCUUCUACCACCCUUCUACCACGAGAGGACAUGGCAAGACAGUGGCCACCAGUCCAGUUCCCCAUUAGGAAUGCCUAUCAGAUACCAGAGCUUCCCAGCCUGCAGACCUAUAGAGAAAUCAAUGUCUAUUUUUCAUAAACUGCUCAGUCUAAAGCAUUUUUUUAGAGAAUCCCUGACUAAGCCAGAUACCGUUUCCUUCCUGACCCAAUUUAGAGAUCUGAGCUCCGACACUUCCAUUCCUAGCCCCCCGACCCUCCUCACAUACCCAUGUCUGCACCACACUUCCUACUUCUAACCGCUGCUUGGCAUCUUGUAUCUGAGUCAUCGGGUGCCUGUACCUCUCAUUUACCUGGAGCUCCAGGGGAGACAUGUCCCUAGUUUGUCACUGCCUCCUAGCCCAGGCCUGAGCCACGGAGGCCUUUGGACCCUUGGAGACUGGCUCAAACCACCCAUUCUAACGUUCUCCCUGGCCUUCUCUCUCUGUGUCCCCCCGCCCCUUUCUCUUGCUGGGAAUUCAACCCUGGGCCUCAGGCCUGCCAGGAAAGCACUCUGUCACUGAGCUACAUC